rnacentral:rRNA from 1 species
UGGGGAAUUUUGGACAAUGGGCGCAAGCCUGAUCCAGCCAUGCCGCGUGCGGGAAGAAGGCCUUCGGGUUGUAAACCGCUUUUGUCAGGGAAGAAAAGCUCUGGGCUAAUACCCCGGGGUCAUGACGGUACCUGAAGAAUAAGCACCGGCUAACUACGUGCCAGCAGCCGCGGUAAUACGUAGGGUGCAAGCGUUAAUCGGAAUUACUGGGCGUAAAGCGUGCGCAGGCGGUGAUGCAAGACAGAUGUGA